GAAAUGCGAUACGUAAUGCGAAUUGCAGAAUUCAGUGAAUCAUCGAAUCUUUGAACGCAAAUUGCGCUCUCGGGUUACCCCCAAGAGCACACCUCUCUGAGUGUCGGUUAAACCAAAUGUCACCAAUUUAUUGGUGUACGACAGCCUGAGGGUAAGGAGUCUCGGCUUCUUUCCCUUUAAAAUCUUCGCCGCACAACGUUGUGUGUUAGUGGCAAGUUGCUUUCACUUAAUUGUGAAUCCAAUCCAUCAACCCCUUGUUGAGCAGCAAAAAGAAACAAACCGGCGGAGUUUGCUUAACCGUAAACUCAGUCAACCUUAUGAAUUAGACCUCAGAUGAAGUGGGAAGACCCCCUGAAUUUAA
rnacentral:misc_RNA from 1 species